rnacentral:lncRNA from 1 species
UUACCACCAGAACUAUUUGAAUGACUGAUAAAGCCCACAAGAAAUUAUUCUUAAUAUACAGGUGAAACGUUGGUUUACAUAUUUUGGAAUCUAUGCCAGAAAACACAAACUGAACCGUUGCCUAUAUAAAAAUUUCAAGCCGACGAUUGCACGAAUUUUUAUUGGUGUUUAUAUGGUCAUUUAUCCGUCGACAUUCCUCCGAUAUCAUCUCGAUUAUAAAUAGAAUGCAUCGAAUCUACAUUAAACACUAAACGAGAAUAGUUUUAUAUUAAUACAUGUUCGAGUCAAUAAAUUGUUGAUUGUGUCUUUUUGACUAUUUGGAAUUUGAAUAUACGUGUCAUAUUAAAUGAAACAUGAGAGUUUGGAUCAAAUCGUACAGCUAACGCCCCUUAAAGAUCAUAUAACUAUAUAGAAACUAUAAUUUACUGUUGUACCUAUCUUUGUAAAAAUAUUUUUCUACAAAUAUUGAAAUCAAUCAGUUUACUUCCAAAAUGUAUAUGCUUUGAUUUCAAUUUUAACAUAAAUCAUGUAACUACAUAUUAAGUUGAAUUAUGAAAAGAAAAACGUUCAAAAAGUACCACGAAUAAAUAUAAUUUUUAUUAAAACAAAUAUUCCUCAUACAGAGUCGUAGCAAAUAAUGAUCUACAAUUUUAUGAAGAUGAUUGUCUUUUACUGAUUACACAUUGGUAUUUUUGUUUUCACUUUAUUAUACAUGUAUAUGACAUCUAG